rnacentral:rRNA from 1 species
AGUCGAGGGGUAUCUAUCUUCGGAUAGAGAGACCGGCGCACGGGUGCGUAACGCGUAUGCAAUCUACCUUUUGCAGAGGGAUAGCCCAGAGAAAUUUGGAUUAAUACCUCAUAGUAUAUAGAGUUGGCAUCAACACUAUAUUAAAGUCACAACGGCAAAAGAUGAGCAUGCGUCCCAUUAGCUAGUUGGUAAGGUAACGGCUUACCAAGGCUACGAUGGGUAGGGGUCCUGAGAGGGAGAUCCCCCACACUGGUACUGAGACACGGACCAGACUCCUACGGGAGGCAGCAGUGAGGAAUAUUGGACAAUGGGCGCAAGCCUGAUCCAGCCAUGCCGCGUGCAGGAUGACGGUCCUAUGGAUUGUAAACUGCUUUUGCACAGGAAGAAACAACAUUACGUGUAAUGUCUUGACGGUACUGUGAGAAUAAGGAUCGGCUAACUCCGUGCCAGCAGCCGCGGUAAUACGGAGGAUCCAAGCGUUAUCCGGAAUCAUUGGGUUUAAAGGGUCCGUAGGCGGUUUAGUAAGUCAGUGGUGAAAGCCCAUCGCUCAACGGUGGAACGGCCAUUGAUACUGCUAGACUUGAAUUAUUAGGAAGUAACUAGAAUAUGUAGUGUAGCGGUGAAAUGCUUAGAGAUUACAUGGAAUACCAAUUGCGAAGGCAGGUUACUACUAAUGGAUUGACGCUGAUGGA